rnacentral:RNase_P_RNA from 1 species
GUGUUUUGGUAUGUGUUCGCUCGUAUGCAAGAUAACGAGAGGAAAGUCCGGACACCACAUGGCAGAAUUCCGCGUGAAAGCGCGGGCAUGCAUGCCAUACCAUGCAUGACGGAUAGCGCAACAGAAAGUAUUCAGCCUAGCAGUAGGUUAUGGUGAAAUGGUGUGGUAAGAGCACACCGGCGUAGCAGCAAUGACACGCGCAGGGCAAGCCCAAUUCGGUGCAAGACGAAAUAGGGUGUCGAGUAGCCAACUCAAUGGCACCGGGUUCGUCGCACUUCCGUUCGGAAGAAUAUUAAAUUAUUAGAUGAAUGAACGCACGAACUUUUAGUUCGAACAGAAUCCGGCUUAUUCCAAAAUAUUCGC